ensembl:lncRNA
CCUCCCCCUACCUGGGGUGCAAGGGUAUCUCCAGUAAGACAGCCUACACCUCAGACACCAGAGUGUUCUGCUCUUGUAAAUAGGAAGGAGGAUAAUAUGACGUUUCAAUAAAAUGCAGGAAAACAGCACUGUGUAAGCAGCUCAAUGUGGAGUGCCAAAGAAGGACUCUUGGCAGCUAGAGACCUGAACACUGGACCCCUAUUGAGAUACCAAGAUGGGGAGGAGGAAUAUUCUUGGGGAUGUGGAAAUCUCUAAGGAAAACUGACCACCCACAAGUGUUCCUGAGCAUAGUCCUGCAUACAGAUAUGGCAACUCCGGAAAGAAUACAUAGGCUCAUCCACGACCAACAUGUCGCUCACCUCCCUGUGUUGCAUAACUCAGAGAGACAAACUGCUCUUGCAGAAGACUUCAGUCAAGAGCUCAUUUAUUUGGAAAGGACAAUCAACAAUCAAUUCAAUUAAGACAGAUCUUCAGAGAAUUCUUGAAAGAUAAUAUACCCUUUUUCUUUUUACAAUACUGUUUCAAGUAUACAGCAAAGUGAUUUGUUUUCGUUCUUUUUUCUUCAGACUAUUUUCCAUUAUAGGUUGUUACAGAUACUGAAUAUAGUUCCCUGUGCUGUACAGAAAAUCCUUGCUCCUUGUCUAUUUUAUAUAUAAUGGUAUUCACCCUAUGUAUUGGAAAGCCUUUUCUAUAGUGAAAGAAGGUGUCUUUCCCACGUGUACAGAAGAUCCAACCAGUCCAUCCUAAAUGAGAUCAAUCCUGAGUGUUCAUUGGAAGGACUGAGGUUGAAGCUGACACUCCAAUACAUUGGCCACCUGAUGCAAAGAGCUGACUCAUUUGAAAAGACCCUGAUGCUCAGUCGAGGGCAGGUGGAGAAGGGGAUGACAG